CUCAUAGAAACCGUGUCCUCUCUCUAAACCUUCGCCCCUCUCUCGCAAAGCCUUCCUCGCCAUUCUCUCUCAACACUGUGUCCUCUCUCACAGAGCCACAAUCGAGGAUCAAGCUUUCAUCUUCUUCAACAAGGGGCUUGCUAGGGUUUCAUUUUGAUUGUCACAUUGAGUUUCUUCAAAUUAAUACCAUAUUCUUUAUCAUCUUCAUCCUGUGAUCAACCAUCAAGAACACCACAGUUUAAUUCGUGGUCUCAAGUCACAAUGGUGUUCUUUGAUUUCAAUAUUCCCUUUGUAGAAGGCAUAUCACCAUCUUCAGAAACACAAGACAAAAUGAACCACAGUAAUACAUUCACAAGGGUAAGACUUGUGGUGAAGGCCAUGGAAUUAGGUUACACUGGUAUUGCGUACAACCGAUCAAUUCGAGGUGUCAUGGCUGAUACUCAUAGAUGCAAUAUCCCUCUCCUUCCUCUGAAAUCUCUCCUUCAAGUCGCUCCUGCUCUUUCCCAAACCGUAAAAUUUCACAGAGAGAUAUUGGGGGUAUCUUUGAAUUCUCCAUUUAGGCAAUAUACACGUUUGACAGUUGCUGUUGAUAGUUUGGUACAAGCUGCUACUCUAAAUUCGGGAAAUCCUAUCUUGAAAACUUAUGACUUGGUCGCUGUUCAGCCCUUGAACCAGGUGACAUUUGAUCAGGCCUGUAAGCAAUUGGAGGUAGAUUUGAUUUCUAUAGAUUUCAACCAGAAGUUACCUUUCCGCUUAAAGGUUCCCAUGGUCAAAGCUGCAAUUCAGCGGGGUAUAUAUUUUGAAAUCAUCUAUUCUGAUCUUAUAUCUGAUGUUCGUGCAAGGAGAGAGAUACUUGCUGGUGCCAAGCUAUUAAUUGAUUGGACUCGUGGGAAAAAUCUUAUAAUUUCAAGUGGUUCACGUACUGUGAAUGAACUCAGAGGUCCAUAUGAUGUUGCAAACUUGUUGACCUUGUUUGGACUUUCUAUGGAUAAAGCCAAGGCAGCUGUGUCCAAGAACUGCAGGUCUCUGAUAUCUAAGGCAUUAAGGAAGAAGCAGUGCUACCAGGGGGCCAUCAGAGUGGAAAGGAUAUACCAAAAUGAAGUUCUAGAUCCUACUAAAGCUUGGCUUGUAGAGUGUAACACUUGGGAUCCUAUUUCAAGUGGUGAAGGUGACCUGAUUUUGGUGCAAGACUUUUCAAUUUGUCAACCCACAAAAGUUGAUUCUCUCUCUUCAUCUCCUGUAACAAAAAGGAAGCAGGCUUCCUCGCGCAAAGAGUUAAGUGCACCCUCUGAUAAUAUUGAAGCUUUGAUUACAUUGCCACAAAUGAACAAUCAGUUGAAUGAAAUUCAACAUGUAAAAGAUCAGAAGCCUGCAGUGGCCACCAGUAAAGGGACAGGUUUCUCUGACAUGGCAACCAGUCCUCAAACUACUAUUUUUGCAGAUUAUGUCUCCAAACCUUUGGUCGGUGAUGAAGAGAAACUACUAAGUCCCAUUUAUAAAGCAGUUCAAUUGCCACUUUCGGAAACUAGAGGCACUUGUCAAACAUUGGGGAAUGAUUCUGUGGUUGAAGAUAUGAACAUCUCAGGAUCGGUCAUAGAAGCUCCUAUUCCUGAGGACACUAAUGCUUGCAAAGGAUUACCUGAUUCCUUCCCACAUAGAAGCCGUGAGAUUCUGUUUUCUUUCAACAAUGGGAGUUCAUCUCUAGCUCAAAGCUCCCUUCCUGACAGUGAACCUUACAAUCUUCAAGAAGAAUGCAACAAUGAUUCUAGUUAUGAGAAUUCACGUAUUGUAAAUACUUGUGCACCUGAAAGUUUGAUAUCUAGUUUGUCAGAAUCAGUUAGAUGCUUGGGUAAUGUAGUGCCAUCGGAUGACGUUGUGGCUAUUGGGUCAUCUGCAUGUGAUAUUGAACUAACAACAGUUAUUGAUGCGGGCACUAAAAGUUCAUGUGGGCGGGAAGAUGUUUCCUCUGCUCAUGAUUUAACUUUGUAUGAGCAGCUGCACCAAUUAACACAUCUACAAGAACAUCCGAUUGGAAAUGGAUCGCAUACAGAUCAUAUUAAUGCAUCUACUGCUAUUGAUAUGGACCAGAUCAGUUUGGAUAAUCAAAAAGUGGUAUCUGAAGUAGAGGGUUUAUCUUCACCUGUGCAAUUGAUUCAGUCUGAGGAACAACAACACAAAGAGGAUCUGGUUGGAAGUGGGAUGCCAUUAUUAAACACUUACAAACCAGGGAGAGGAAGACUUAAAAGAAAGUCUUUUGGUUGGUCCUAUGGUUUUUCUCCAAAGAGUGUACUGAAGCUUGGAUUGUUCAAGAAAAAAGCCCAGCCUAGAAAGAAAAGAAGGGAAGCAAAUCUAUUCGAAGGAAUGACCACAAAUGUUUCAUCGUCUCUGAGUUGAUAUUUUGCCUUCUAAUUAUUUCUACCCUUCCAUUGUUGCUUGAAAUCUGCCUGAAAGACUAUAAGCAUAUGAUCCUGCAAGGGGGAAGUGGCUGAGCUGAUCCUAUUUGCACUUCAAAAGAACUUUACUACCUUUUAUUGGCACCUGGCCUUGUUCUAGCUGAUUCAGAUGGGGAGACUGUACUUGUAACAGAGGCACUGCAAGCUCAAGUGCAAGAUGUUACAGACAUUGCCCAGCACCAUGUUGCUACUCAAUUGAGUAUUUUCACCUUGGGUAGUUCAGCUGUAGGAAUCAAACUCAAAGACUCAGUGGUGCAAUUGUCAACACCUUACCAGUCGUUUCCAACCCCUCUGUACUAAAUUGAAGACUCUGAGUGUUUAAGCAACUAUUGUAUGCGGACAUUUGGAAAUCCACUGCUUGUGCUGUUAAGAUCGGA